rnacentral:rRNA from 1 species
GUCUACGGCCAUACCACCUGAACACGCCCGAUCUCACCUGAGCUUGGAAGCUAAGCAGGGUUGGGCCUGGUUAGUACCUGAAUGGGAGACAUUUACC